rnacentral:rRNA from 1 species
GACGAACGCUGGCGGCGUGCCUAAUACAUGCAAGUCGAACGAGAGCGACCGGUGCUUGCACUGGUCAAUCUAGUGGCGAACGGGUGAGUAACACGUGGGUAACCUGCCCAUCAGAGGGGGAUAACAUCCGGAAACGGAUGCUAAAACCGCAUAGGUCUUCGAACCGCAUGGUUUGAAGAGGAAAAGAGGCGCAAGCUUCUGCUGAUGGAUGGACCCGCGGUGCAUUAGCUAGUUGGUGAGGUAACGGCCCACCAAGGCCGUGAUGCAUAGCCGACCUGAGAGGGUGAUCGGCCACAUUGGGACUGAGACACGGCCCAAACUCCUACGGGAGGCAGCAGUAGGGAAUCUUCCGCAAUGGACGCAAGUCUGACGGAGCGACGCCGCGUGAGUGAAGAAGGUUUUCGGAUCGUAAAACUCUGUUGUUAGAGAAGAACAAGUGCUAGAGUAACUGUUAGCGCCUUGACGGUAUCUAACCAGAAAGCCACGGCUAACUACGU